UUGACCUCAAAUCAGGCGGGACUACCCGCUGAACUUAAGCAUAUCAAUAAGCGGAGGAAAAGAAACUAACAAGGAUUCCCCUAGUAACUGCGAGUGAAGCGGGAUGAGCUCAAAUUUAAAAUCUGGCGUCUUCGGCGUCCGAGUUGUAAUUUAGAGAAGCGUUUUCCGCGCAGGACCGUGUACAAGUCUCCUGGAACGGAGCGUCAUAGAGGGUGAGAAUCCCGUCUUUGACACGGACCCCCUGUGCUCUGUGAUACGCUCUCGAAGAGUCGAGUUGUUUGGGAAUGCAGCUCAAAAUGGGUGGUGAACUCCAUCUAAAGCUAAAUAUUGGCGAGAGACCGAUAGCGAACAAGUACCGUGAGGGAAAGAUGAAAAGCACUUUGGAAAGAGAGUGAAACAGUACGUGAAAUUGUUGAAAGGGAAACGCUUGAAGUCAGUCGCGUCCGCCGGGAUUCAGCCGCAAGGUGUACUUUCCGGUGGACGGGCCAGCAUCACUUUCGAUCAUCGGAAAAGGGCGAGUGGAAUGUGGCACCUCCGGGUGUGUUAUAGCCUCUCGCCGUAUACGGUGACCGGGAGUGAGGACCGCCUUUUUGUAGGAUGCUGGCGUAAUGGCUUUAAACGACCCGUCUUGAAACACGGACCAAGGAGUCUAACAUGCCCGCGAGUGUUCGGGUGGAAAACCCGUGCGCGUAAUGAAAGUGAAAGUUGGGAAGGCUGUCGCGGCCUGCACCGACGCCCGG
rnacentral:rRNA from 1 species